AACGAACGCUGGCGGCAUGCCUAACACAUGCAAGUCGAACGAGACCUUCGGGUCUAGUGGCGCACGGGUGCGUAACGCGUGGGAACCUGCCCUUAGGUUCGGACUAACUCCCCGGAAGGGGUGCUAAUACCGGAAAAUAUCUUCGGACCAAAGAUUUAUCGCCUUUGGAUGGGCCCGCGUUGUCUUCCUUUGUUGGUAGGGUAAAAGGCUACCAAGGAGUCGAUACGUAGCUGGUCUGCGAGGCAACUCCCCCACACUGGUACUGAGACGCGGCCCAGACUUCUAAGGGAGGCAGCAGUGGGGAAUAUAGGACAAGGGGGGGAAGGCUGAAGCACUUAGGCCGGGUGAGUGAUGAAGGCCUGAGGGUAGUGAAGUUCUUUUACCCGGGAUGAUAAUGACGGUACCGGGAGAAUAAGCACCGGCUAACUCCGUG
rnacentral:rRNA from 1 species